rnacentral:rRNA from 1 species
AUUGAACGCUGGCGGAAUGCUUUACACAUGCAAGUCGAACGGCAGCACGGGGCAACCUGGUGGCGAGUGGCGAACGGGUGAGUAAUACAUCGGAACGUGCCCAAUCGUGGGGGAUAACGUAGCGAAAGUUACGCUAAUACCGCAUACGAUCUACGGAUGAAAGCGGGGGAUCGCAAGACCUCGCGCGAAUGGAGCGGCCGAUGUCAGAUUAGGUAGUUGGUGGGGUAAAGGCUCACCAAGCCAACGAUCUGUAGCUGGUCUGAGAGGACGACCAGCCACACUGGAACUGAGACACGGUCCAGACUCCUACGGGAGGCAGCAGUGGGGAAUUUUGGACAAUGGGCGCAAGCCUGACGCAGCGAUGCCGCGUGAGUGACGAAGGUCUUAGGAUUGUAAAGCUCUUUUCUGAGGGAAGAAUAGGUCUGGUAGGAAAUGACUGGAUUCUGACGGUACCUCAGGAAUAAGGAACGGCUAACUCCGUG